UACGGGGGGGGCAAGCGUUGUUCGGAAUUACUGGGCGUAAAGGGCUCGUAGGUGGCCAACUAAGUCAGACGUGAAAUCCCUCGGCUUAACCGGGGAACUGCGUCUGAUACUGGAUGGCUUGAGAUUGGGAGAGGGAUGCGGAAUUCCAGGUGUAGCGGUGAAAUGCGCAGAUAUCAGGAGGAACACCGAUGGCGAAGGCAGGUCUCUGGGCAUUAACUGACGCUGAGGAGCGAAAGCAUGGGGAGCGAACAGG
rnacentral:rRNA from 1 species